UUGCAGUGAUGACCAUCUUAGGACACCUUUGGAGUUCACUAUGAAAAUUCAACUUAUUCUGAGCAAC